GGAGGAAAAGAAACUAACAAGGAUUCCCCUAGUAACGGCGAGUGAAGCGGGAAGAGCUCAAAUUUGAAAUCUGGUGGCCUCAGGCUAUCCGAGUUGUAAUCUAUAGAAACAUUUUCCGCGUUGGCCCAUGUACAAGUCUCUUGGAAUAGAGCGUCAUAGAGGGUGAGAAUCCCGUCCUUGACAUGGACUACCAGUGCUUUGUGAUAUGUUUUCAACGAGUCGAGUUGUUUGGGAAUGCAGCUCAAAAUGGGUGGUAAAUUCCAUCUAAAGCUAAAUAUUGGCGAGAGACCGAUAGCGAACAAGUACCGUGAGGGAAAGAUGAAAAGCACUUUGGAAAGAGAGUUAAACAGUAUGUGAAAUUGUUGAAAGGGAAACGAUUGAAGUCAGUCGUGUCUAUUGGACUCAGCCGGUUCUGCCGGUGUACUUCCUUUAGAUGGGGUCAACAUCAGUUUUGAUCGCUGGAAAAGGGCAGGAGGAAUGUAGCACUCUCGGGUGAACUUAUAGCCUUCUGUCGCAUACAGUGGUUGGGACUGAGGAACGCAGCUUGCCUUUAUGGCCGGGAUUUAUCCACGUACAAGCUUAGGAUGUUGACAUAAUGGCUUUAAACGAC
rnacentral:rRNA from 1 species